GUACCCGUAGCUCAGCUGGAUAGAGCGUUAGACUCCGACUCUAAAGGCCGAAGGUUCGAAUCCUUUCGGGUACGCCA
rnacentral:tRNA from 1 species